AUAUAUCAGCUCUCCUAUCUACAAUAAGUUUACCUCAAUUUUUUCCAAUAUUGAUCAGAAGGGAGGUAAAAACUUUCUUUAUGGCUAUUAUAACUAGUAAUUAACAUGCAUCAUAGCAUCAAUAUGACACAACUGGUAUAUAUAGCCAAAAGAAUUAAGACAUAAAAUUCAAAGUCCAGGCUUGUCUAUAAGAUUUUGCUCCAAAAAAGAUGUCAUAGGAACAAGUCUCACUUGUUUCAACUAGUCUGCAUGCUGUUGCACCAUCAAAACUCCAUACACCUUAGCUUCUGCGAGAGAAAUCUCUCGUAUUCUCCGGAAGGAAGCGAAAUGGAGGAACUUUUUUUAGAGCGUGUGUUGUAGGAGGGAGAAGAGCAGAAGGGUAUUAAAAAAAAAAAAAAAACAACAAACAAAAAAAAAAAAAAAAA
rnacentral:misc_RNA from 1 species